rnacentral:lncRNA from 1 species
AUUGUCGAUAAAUGCAGUAAACAACAGGCUGCUUUCUCUCAGAAGAAGUUAUAUGAAGUUGUCAUCCAUUUGACGGUAUGUACUAUACUCUCCUUCAUUUUUUAUCAGGUUCUGCCAAGGUAGGGAUGUGCAUAUAUUUUGCUAUAAAAUAAUGUUUCACAAUAGAAACUUUGCGUGUAUUGUUAAACAAUCACCUAAUUAACCUCAACCUGUUUUUUCUCUAGGGAAGAAAGCUAAUUUCUCAGUUACAGGUAGGCAUUUAGAUGGAGCCAUUCUUCCUCAAAUUUUGAAUGUUCUCCCCUCUGAUACAGCUGUGUCUGCUGUGGACAGACACGUAUAUUGUUUAAGGAUAAACUGAAAUCUUAAAAGCCAUAGAUUACCUUUGAUUUAAAGGCCAGGAAUAUAGAUCAUAUACAAUUGUAGUAUAAUUUGUCACAUUGAAAAAAAUAACUACAUUCAGCUAUGGAUGUGCUAGCCAGCGUUUCCAUCACCAAUUUAAGGUUGUUAUGUCAAAACUCAUUUGCUAUUUUGCCCUUUCCACAGACCUGCAGUAGUGGAAAAGUGAACUGCAGUUUGGUCUUUUCACUCUCAUGGCAGAGUAAGAAGGAAUGAGAGCUCCUUCCCUAGGCCCUGUAUCUCCUCCAAGCCCACAGACUGGCUCUGCACAUGGGAAAAUGUGCAAGUGCUGUCUCCUCCACUUCCAAAGCAGAAGAAUUAACUCAGCUGAGGAUGUCCAGGAAAAAGGACCCAUCUACCACCAGAUCCUGAGGUAGCUGAGUUAUAACAGGUCAUUGCCAGAGGAGGAAGGUCCCUGGAGUAGAAAAUGCAGGAGAAGGAAAAAUAAAAUAAGAAAAAAAGUGUUUAAAGGGGAGACUUUGCAGACAGAAGCAACCUGUGUGCAAGGCCCUGCCUAUGAAUGGGGAUUACUUCUGCUUCCUAAAAGGACUAUUACUUGCAACCUGUGUCCCCUCCAGCUACAGACACAGGCUAUCCUUGCCCUCCCCAGCCUGUUCAGCACCACCUGCUAGCCAGGCACACCUGGAUGCGCUGCUGAGCCUCUGGCUUCUGCACAUGGGUCUUUGAAGGGUUACAGCCAGUGUGGCCAGAGGAGUGGGAUGGCAGUCACAUUGGGGAGUCUGUGGGGUCACAUUGACUAGGAAGAGGUGAGGAUAAGUAGGGAUCCCAUUCCCUUGAAGAGAGAACACUUGGUGAGAAAUCCCUUGGAGCAAAGCAUUGUUGAAGAGUUGGGGAUGAGAAGCCCGGGAGAAUUUCUCUGCUCCAAACGUUUCUUGCACAGGAAUGCAAGGGUGCAAGUCUGUGAGCACAGCUUGGUGCAGCCCUGGCAGCUGGAGUCUGAAGCAGUAGGGAGGAUAAUGUGAG